rnacentral:tRNA from 1 species
GGGAUGUAGCUCAGCUGGAAGAGCACCUGCUUUGCAAGCAGGGGGUCGUGGGUUCAAGUCCCAUCAUCUCC